AUUGAACGCUCGCGGCAUGCCUUACACAUGCAAGUCGAACGGCAGCGGGGGAGAAGCUUGCUUUUCCUGCCGGCGAGUGGCGAACGGGUGAGUAAUACAUCGGAACGUGCCCUGUAGUGGGGGAUAACUAGUCGAAAGAUUAGCUAAUACCGCAUACGACCUGAGGGUGAAAGUGGGGGACCGCAAGGCCUCAUGCUAUAGGAGCGGCCGAUGUCUGAUUAGCUAGUUGGUGGGGUAAAGGCCUACCAAGGCGACGAUCAGUAGCGGGUCUGAGAGGACGAUAGGCCACACUGGGACGGAGACACGGCCCGGACUCCUACGGGAGGCAGCAGUGGGGAAUUUUGGACAAUGGGCGAAAGCCUGAUCCAGCAAUGCCGCGUGUGUGAAGAAGGCCUUCGGGUUGUAAAGCACUUUUGUCCGGAAAGAAAUGGCUCUGGUUAAUACCUGGGGUCGAUGACGGUACCGGAAGAAUAAGGACCGGCUAACUACGUGCCAGCCGCCGCAGUAA
rnacentral:rRNA from 1 species